UAGGAGAAAGGUCUUUUUACUAUAUUAUUUUGUUGCCAAAUAAAUUAUAAUGAUCAAUUUAAUGUAAAUUUACUCUUUAGAUUUAUAUUUUUUGGCAAAUCAAUGAAAACAAGACUUAAAAGGAAAUGUUAAAGUUGGUAGUAAGAAUCUAGUUCAGUAAGGUAUUUUAAUUAGAUUGAUUUUUGUUUGAUGUUUCUUACACCUCUUUCCCAGCCCCCCUCUUACCCUUUUUUAAUUUUUCUCCUCUUUUCCAUUUUCCUUGUCUUACCAUUCUGGAAAUUGAAAUUAUGCUUUGCUGUCAAUGAAGUGAAUGGGAAUUCUGCCACUGGAGAGGAUGAGAGGAUGCUGUAUUUCCAUCUGUGAAUGAACUAAUGACACCUACUUAAAGGCAGCAUUGUGAAGAUUAAUUAAUUGACAUUAUUGAAGUAUCCUGAGGUGGAAAUUCUGAUUGUCAAGCAAUCAGAAAUACCGAGAUGUGUGGCAUUUCUUCAGGGUGGUGAAGGGCACAGUUUUCUCCACUUCUGACAGGUGGGUCAGCCAUUCUUGGAACAGCAGACAGCUCAAAGUGUGUCAAUGGGGUAAGUGCCAAAGUGUGUUAAUGGGGUAACUGCCAAAAAAUGACCCUGAGGGCAUUCCCAACAUUUCCAAGAAUAUCAUACCAAUAAAACCACUUCUUAUGGUCAUGUGGGACACACAUAGAUCAGAGUUAGAGUUGGGAUAGCAGUUAUACCAUGUGAUGUGAAUAAAUUGCCAUCUCUCUUCUCUCAGUUUAGUCACUUAUUAAACUGGGAAAUAGUCUUGGCGUGCUGUAUGAGGGUACUGGGAAGACAACUUAGCUUCAGCGAAAGGUGUGCUUAAAAUUCUGCAUUGGAGAGCAUAAUAGAGGUGUGAAGUAUCUUAUGUUAGACACUGUGGAAUUAGCAAGCAUGGCUAAUCCUUAGCAUUCAACAAUAAUUUCUCUAUACUGGGACAGAAAUAACAGAACCAAUAAGAAAAGUGCAGUGGCUAGACCAAUGGCAGCUGCAAUAAAACAACAUUUUGAUUUGUUAGUCUCUCAGAACUUUGCGUAAUGUGCUACUAUUUCUUCUUGUUAGAGCUGAUUGAAUCACAUAAAACUGAAUUCCAGUAGCUGAAUAGCUACACGGCAUUGUAUUAGGAGACAUACCAAUCACUCUAGGAUUGCUUUCCUGA